UCCAAACCAUCUUCCCUAGCUUCUUAGCAUAUUCAUUGAACUCAAUUUUCCUAUCCUCUGAUAAAUAUAGGGUCUCAAGUACUCUUUCUUAUCUUCAAACCUCUAUCUCGACCUCUCUUUAAAUUCUCUCCCAAAAUGGUUUUUGCCAGCUUCAAUGAAGAGAUCUAUCUAUCGUUUGCAAUCUCAAUACUAGUGUUUUUCUAUCUCGUUCUGGUAGUCUUGGAGUCUCCAUGGAGCAAUAGUGGUGGAGUUUGUAUCUUGCCCCUGGAUUGUUGCUUUCCAACACCUAGAGUUGCAGAAAAUAUGUCAACAGUGAGUGAUAAUUCCAAAGGGAAGCCGAGAAAUGGACUGAUCUGUGGGAAUCUGCACUAGAGAAAUAUAAUAUAUAUAUAUUUUCUAGGCUACAUAUAUUGGAUUUUGUAUUCUUGGUGUUUUUCUUUCCCUGGCCUGCACCUUCUUGAUUUCGGGACUCUUGCUUUAGGAAUUCAGUUCUCAAGAAUUCAUGAUCAUGUGGCCUGGGUUGAGUUCUUGGGAUCUAAAUUUCAAAUGACAGAGAUUGUAUCUACAACUAUAAGCAUCUAAGAUCUCAAGACAAUUAAUACUGAUAA